AGAAGAGAUAGGUGUGAUUGAGAAUUUGUGGGAGACUUUUAAGAAAGGGGUCGUGAAUAGUGCUAUUGAGGUGUGUGGGGUAGCUAAAAGAAGGAAAGGAAGAAAGAACUAUAAUGUGUGGAUGGAUAAAGAUGUACAAAAGGCUGUGCAAGAAAAGAAGAAAGCGUGGUUGGAUUGGUUAGCAACAAAAGCUAACCAAAAGGUUCAAAAGGCAACGGAUGACGAGAUAAAGGAAUCAAGAACGAAGUAUAAAAGAUUGAAAUUAGCGGCGAAAGAAGUUGUGUCUAGAAAGAAAGAGGAAGAAAGGAUGAUUUUGAUACGAGGGGCGGCUGAAAAGUUCUGAGCCUAGGGUACUUGCAGUCGUACUAUUUACUUAUCCGGUGGGUCACUAUUUGAACGACAUCUACCCACUAUAUAAGCGAAGUUUCACGUCAUUAGCUUCUCUUGACAGAUCCCGACGAUAGGAUAACCGCAGCCAACGCCCCUCUCGUAGGUAACACACCCACUCACAAGACACACACGCACCGCCUUCGCCGGCGAAGACGAGGUCC
rnacentral:misc_RNA from 1 species